rfam:Ictidomys tridecemlineatus contig023513, whole genome shotgun sequence.
GGGGUUGUGGCUCAGUGGGAGAGCACUUGCUUAGAAAGUGUGAGGCACUGGGUUUGAUUCUCAGCACCA